rnacentral:rRNA from 1 species
AGCAGCCGCGGUAAUUCCAGCUCCAAUAGCGUAUAUUAAAGUUGUUGCAGUUAAAAAGCUCGUAGUUGAAUUUCGGGGUUAAUAAGUUGGUCGUACCUAUGGUAUGUACUGGCUUUAUUGAUUCCUACCUCUUGACGAACUGUGAUGCCAUUAAUUUGGUGUUGCAAGGAAUCAGGACUGUUACCUUGAAAAAAUUAGAGUGUUUAAAGCAGGCUUACGCUUGAAUACAUUAGCAUGGAAUAAUGAAAUAGGACGUUUGAACCUAUUUUGUUGGUUUCUAGGAUCGACGUAAUGAUUAAUAGGGAUAGUUGGGGGCAUUAGUAUUCAAUUGUCAGAGGUGAAAUUCUUGGAUUUAUUGAAGACUAACUACUGCGAAAGCAUUUGCCAAGGAUGUUUUCAUUAAUCAAGAACGAAAGUUAGGGGAUCGAAGACGAUCAGAUACCGUCGUAGUCUUAACCAUAAACUAUGCCGACUAGGGAUCGGAUGAUGUUAAUUUUUAAUGACUCAUUCGGCGCCUUAC